AGAGUUUGAUCCUGGCUCAGGACGAACGCUGGCGGCGCGCCUAACACAUGCAAGUCGAACGAGCGAGAGAGAGCUUGCUUUCUCGAGCGAGUGGCGAACGGGUGAGUAACGCGUGAGGAACCUGCCUCAAAGAGGGGGACAACAGUUGGAAACGACUGCUAAUACCGCAUAAGCCCACGGGUCGGCAUCGACCAGAGGGAAAAGGAGCAAUCCGCUUUGAGAUGGCCUCGCGUCCGAUUAGCUAGUUGGUGAGGUAACGGCCCACCAAGGCAACGAUCGGUAGCCGGACUGAGAGGUUGAACGGCCACAUUGGGACUGAGACACGGCCCAGACUCCUACGGGAGGCAGCAGUGGGGAAUAUUGCACAAUGGGGGAAACCCUGAUGCAGCGACGCCGCGUGGAGGAAGAAGGUCUUCGGAUUGUAAACUCCUGUUGUUGGGGAAGAUAAUGACGGUACCCAACAAGGAAGUGACGGCUAACUACGUGCCAGCAGCCGCGGUAAAACGUAGGUCACAAGCGUUGUCCGGAAUUACUGGGUGUAAAGGGAGCGCAGGCGGGAAGACAAGUUGGAAGUGAAAUCUAUGGGCUCAACCCAUAAACUGCUUUCAAAACUGUUUUUCUUGAGUAGUGCAGAGGUAGGCGGAAUUCCCGGUGUAGCGGUGGAAUGCGUAGAUAUCGGGAGGAACACCAGUGGCGAAGGCGGCCUACUGGGCACCAACUGACGCUGAGGCUCGAAAGUGUGGGUAGCAAACAGGAUUAGAUACCCUGGUAGUCCACACCGUAAACGAUGAUUACUAGGUGUUGGAGGAUUGACCCCUUCAGUGCCGCAGUUAACACAAUAAGUAAUCCACCUGGGGAGUACGACCGCAAGGUUGAAACUCAAAGGAAUUGACGGGGGCCCGCACAAGCAGUGGAGUAUGUGGUUUAAUUCGACGCAACGCGAAGAACCUUACCAAGUCUUGACA
rnacentral:rRNA from 1 species